AUUGAACGCUGGCGGCAUGCCUUACACAUGCAAGUCGAACGGCAGCACGGGAGCAAUCCUGGUGGCGAGUGGCGAACGGGUGAGCAAUAUAUCGGAACGUGCCCAGUCGUGGGGGAUAACGUAGCGAAAGCUACGCUAAUACCGCAUACGAUCUAUGGAUGAAAGCGGGGGAUCGCAAGACCUCGCGCGAUUGGAGCGGCCGAUAUCAGAUUAGGUAGUUGGUGGGGUAAAGGCUCACCAAGCCGAGGAUCUGUAGCUGGUCUGAGAGGACGACCAGCCACACUGGGGCUGAGACACGGCCCAAACGCCUACGGGAGGCAGCAGUGGGGAAUUUUGGACAAUGGGCGCAAGCCUGAUCCAGCAAUGCUGCGUGCAGGAUGAAGGCCUUCGGGUUGUAAACUGCUUUUGUACGGAGCGAAAAGGCUCUCUCUAAUACAGGGGGCUCAUGACGGUACCGUAAGAAUAAGCACCGGCUAACUACGUGCCAGCCGCCGCAGUAA
rnacentral:rRNA from 1 species